rnacentral:tRNA from 3 species
CGCGGGGUAGAGCAGCAGGAAGCUCGUCGGGCUCAUAACCCGGAGGUCGCUGGUUCGAAUCCAGCCCCCGCUACCA